GAAGAAGGAGCUUGCUCCUUUGGCGUCGAGCGGCGGACGGGUGAGUAAUGCUUGGGAAUGUGCCUUAUGGUGGGGGACAACAGUUGGAAACGACUGCUAAUACCGCAUAAUGUCUUCGGACCAAAGUGGGGGACCUUCGGGCCUCACGCCAUAAGAUCAGCCCAAGUGGGAUUAGCUAGUUGGUAAGGUAAUGGCUUACCAAGGCGACGAUCCCUAGCUGGUUUGAGAGGAUGAUCAGCCACACUGGGACUGAGACACGGCCCAGACUCCUACGGGAGGCAGCAGUGGGGAAUAUUGCACAAUGGGCGCAAGCCUGAUGCAGCCAUGCCGCGUGUGUGAAGAAGGCCUUCGGGUUGUAAAGCACUUUCAGUAAGGAGGAAAGGUUAAGUGUUAAUAGCACUUAGCUGUGACGUUACUUACAGAAGAAGCACCGGCUAACUCCGUGCCAGCAGCCGCGGUAAUACGGAGGGUGCGAGCGUUAAUCGGAAUUACUGGGCGUAAAGCGUACGCAGGCGGUUUGUUAAGCGAGAUGUGAAAGCCCUGGGCUCAACCUGGGAACUGCAUUUCGAACUGGCAAACUAGAGUGUGAUAGAGGGUGGUAGAAUUUCAGGUGUAGCGGUGAAAUGCGUAGAGAUCUGAAGGAAUACCGAUGGCGAAGGCAGCCACCUGGGUCAACACUGACGCUCAUGUACGAAAGCGUGGGGAGCAAACAGGGAUUAGAUACCCUGGUAGUCCACGCCGUAAACGAUGUCUACU
rnacentral:rRNA from 1 species